GUCGGGGAUUGAGCGUAAUGGCGGACCGGAGCGAACACAAAGCCCAACCCACUCUAGGACUCGCGUAUCACAAGAAAGGGGAGCUGCUUGCCACGUGCCUCCCAGAAAGUUGAUUGAUGAUCUUGAUCAGGGACUCAUCUAUCGCAUUCCGAGUGGGAUUGAGAGACAACAAGUGUAGGUCCAGGGUAUGUACCAUGCACCCUAAACUGACCUAGUACCUCUUGUACUAGUGUCUUAUAGAACGUCAUGACCCCAGAGGCCCAUUUCUAGCGUCAGAGCCCAGGCCCAUCCAUAGGCCCGUAUCUUCACCUCCUUCCCGCCACCUUUAUUGCCCCCCGCUGGGUCACAAGCACGGCGUUACCCGUGCUCGGCAUAACGUUCAGCAUGCGUCGCCCUAUAUAAACCGUA
rnacentral:lncRNA from 1 species